rnacentral:sRNA from 1 species
UCAAAAUAUUUGAAUCAUUGAUGCUUUUGUUUCAAUUAGAUAAUGAUGAAAGUGUGAAUUUACCUCAGCUUUGAAUUGUUUAUAUCCUUGAGAUGAAGAAUGGGAGAGUAUCUUAAUAGCUACUUGUUCAGUACCAUUCACCAACUAUCAGAGACAACACUCAAUCUAUCCAAUUAAACUAUAAUCGUGAAUUCAAAACCCAAUUCAAACACCCAAUUAAACUAUAAUCGUACAAUCAACAGAAAUUGGGAACUCGAACGAGUCACGACUCCUUAUCACUCUAAGAAGCUAUGUUAAACAAAGGUUAGGUUUUAAACCUUCUUCUUCAUCUUCUUCGAGUAGGGUUUCAAUCCAAGUAGCUGGAGCUGAACGGAUCCGAGAUAAACCAAUUCGACUCUGAUAGGUUGAAGAUACCCUUAGCUUUCAUGAAGAAGAAGAUGAGAACCAGUGGAAGGAGGGCUCGUAAAUGGGAGAAGAAACAUGGGUGAAAAGUGGCUAGAAGUGAAGAAAAGAAGAAGUGUAGAGACUUUGAACAAAAAAA